rnacentral:rRNA from 1 species
UGGGGAAUAUUGCACAAUGGGCGCAAGCCUGAUGCAGCCAUGCCGCGUGUGUGAAGAAGGCCUUCGGGUUGUAAAGCACUUUCAGCGGGGAGGAAGGCGGUGAGGUUAAUAACCUCAUCGAUUGACGUUACCCGCAGAAGAAGCACCGGCUAACUCCGUGCCAGCAGCCGCGGUAAUACGGAGGGUGCAAGCGUUAAUCGGAAUUACUGGGCGUAAAGCGCACGCAGGCGGUUUGUUAAGUCAGAUGUGAAGUCCCCGGGCUCAACCUGGGAACUGCAUCUGAUACUGGCAAGCUUGAGUCUCGUAGAGGGGGGUAGAAUUCCAGGUGUAGCGGUGAAAUGCGUAGAGAUCUGGAGGAAUACCGGUGGCGAAGGCGGCCCCCUGGACGAAGACUGACGCUCAGGUGCGAAAGCGUGGGGAGCAAACAGG